rnacentral:lncRNA from 1 species
CUCGGCCCACAUCUAUUUUCUGCAAAAAGUUUCCUCUUAAUGUUUGGCUGGAUCUUCGUGUUCUCGGCGUUUUGGUUCCCGCACUGACGUUUGUUCAGAGACAGUGGACAGUGUGUUUGUGUCCAUUCCAUGUGUGUGUUUCUGCUUUUCUGACUGGCACUUGUUACAACGUUGGAACUUACAAGGUUAAGCUGACUGUCCAAUGUGAAGUAUCCAGAAUAUUUUUUAUCUUUGUAAAUGUUCCAUGUGCACUUGAAAAAAUUAGGGUUUUUGUGGAUUUGUUUGUUGUUGAAUCAAACUGAGCCAUAAAAGUGACAAUGCCAAAUCUUUAACUGCUAGGCCACUAAGGAACUCAUUUUAUUUUAUUUUUUAAUUAAUAUUUUUUGCUGUUGUUGGUUGCAGUGCUCUGUAAAUAUCAGGUCGAUGACAGUGUUUUUCAAAUUUUCUGUUUUAAACUGAUUCUCUGCCUACUUGUUCUAACAGUUACUGAGAGUAUAAGCGGAACAUCUGGAUUAUAAUUGUGGAUUUAUCUCCUUCUCCUAACUUUAUCAGAUUUUCUUUCAUGUAUUUUGAUGUUAUUAUUAAGUGCAUAAACAUUUAUGAUUAUUUUCUCUUGAUGAACUACCUUAUUAUUAUGAAAUGAUCUCAAGAAAACCCACACCCAUUGGUCUGAUCCUCAAGGUCUGCCAUACACUCCUACUCCACUCUCUACCAGUCACUUUCUAUCAUAGUACAUUCUUAUAGUUAACCUCACAAAUGUCACACAAAUAACACAAUCACACACAUGGUCACAGAAAUGCACCAUGCUCACUCCAACAUUCAAGAUUUUUGCAUGGUCUCUCAACACACACGACAGGAUCAAAAGGUCAUGCAGUAACCGACAAAAUCAGUCAUGUGACAGAAACCAAAACAAAUAAAUUAUAAACACUAUUGUUCUAAGGGGGUAUA